ACAAACAAAUCAUUUUUGAAUUGAGAAAAAGGUUGUAGAAGAAAAAGGUACUACGGCCGGCAAUCAGAAGAAAAGUUGUUUGACCUCUUGACUGAACUGAACCGAACUGAAUGAAAGACAUAUAAAAUUGUUAAGCGAAUGCAUUUAAAAAUAAUUUCAACUGCCAAUAAAAAGCCAGCCAAAGGAAAAAACACCGAUGAUUGGCCUGGGCCAUAAUAGAGGGCCCUGGCUCUCUCGAAACGAGUUUGGAAAGAAAAUUGUGUCACGUUUGUGUGUUGUGUGUUUGAAACGGUUAAAUGUUUGAGGGAAAACACAUCGCAUGCCACUCGAGAUCAGAGGCAGGCAGCAGUAGAGUGCGGUGCGGUGUGGUGUGUCUCUGUCAAAUCCUAUAGAGAUACCCUCUACUCUCGAUACACGUGCGCAUACCAUGGCAUAAUGUGGUACUGGUGCGUGUGCGCUUGAUUUAUUGAAUUCUUUCGCUCAGAACCGUAGCUGAUUUCGUAUGCAACGGAUGCCCCAGGUCCAAGUCCAACUCCAAGUCCAAACUAUGUGCCUCCGCAAGAAUGCCAACUCAUUAUAGAACUCCCCUUCUGGAGGUGCUGGAAAGGAGCCCCCCAAAGGCCCCACAGAACGGAAAUGAAAAGAGAACCAAAGCCGGAGGCAGGAAAUCGUCGUGUGACAACGUGUUCAUUGGGGAAUUUCCCAGCUUAUUCUUUAGUUUUCAGUGCUAAAAAAAAAAAGAAACAGACUCCAAUGUGUCGAUCGGAAUACUUCAGGAAUUGGGGUCAAAAGCCAGAGAGAAGUGCACUACUUUCUGCCUCUCAAGAGCGAUGCCACUCGAAAAGCGUUUGCCACUUCAUUCCUCUGGAAAAUGCAGCCAACGGUAGUCCACCAUUCGA